rnacentral:rRNA from 1 species
UACGAAGGGGGCGAGCGUUAUUCGGAAUCACUGGGCGUAAAGCGUGCGUAGGCUGUUUGACAAGUUGGAAGUGAAAGCCCAGGGCUCAACCCUGGAAUUGCUUUCAAAACUGUCAGACUCGAAUCUCGGAGAGGAUAGCGGAAUUUCCAGUGUAGUAGUGAAAUACGUAGAUAUUGGAAGGAACACCAGUGGCGCAAGCGGCUAUCUGGACGAGUAUUGACGCUGAGGCACGAAAGCGUGGGGAUCAAACAGG